UACGUAGGGUGUAAGCGUUAAUCGGAAUUACUGGGCGUAAAGCGUGCGCAGGCGGUUGUGCAAGACAGGUGUGAAAUCCCCGGGCUUAACCUGGGAACUGCACUUGUGACUGCACAGCUGGAGUGCGGCAGAGGGGGAUGGAAUUCCCAGUGUAGAGGUGAAAUCGUAGAUAUUGGGAAGAACACCGUGGCGAAGGCGAGCCAUCGUCGGACCGAGACUGAGCGCAUGAGGCGGC
rnacentral:rRNA from 1 species